GACGCGACCGAAUGAAAUGGUGAAGGACGGGUCCAGCCGGCUGC
rnacentral:misc_RNA from 1 species